ensembl:lncRNA
UAUUGUCAUCAUGCUUUGUCCAGGAGUGCAUUUGCAUGUGAGUUCUCCACCUUUUUAUAAAUAGGAUAGUGAUAGGACAAGGGGGAAUGGUUCUAAACUGAGACAGGGGAGGUUUAGGUUGGAUAUGAGGAGGAAGUUUUUCCCCUAGAGGCUCACGCUAGAACAGGUUGCCCAAGGAGGUGUGGAUGCCCCAUCCCUGCAGGCAUUCAAGGCCAGGCUGGAUGUGGCUCUGGGCAGCCUGGGCUGCUGGUUGGCGACCCUGCACAUAGCAGGGGGUUGGAACUGGAUGAGCAUUGUGGGCUUUUUCAAAUCAGGCCAUUCUAUGAUUCUAAUAAAUGCCAAAGGGUCUAUACUUCCAAAAUACCCCCCAAAAAGAAAUGUGGACACAAGUCCAGCUAUGACAGUAGCAGAGGCUGUGGGGGCAGUUGUUUUACAGAAACAGGAGCGCUAUCUUUAAUAGCAUGAUGAAAAGUGAAAUAAAUGCAACUUUGCUGCUGCUGUAAAUGAGUCAUUUCAGAGUCUCUCUGCUGUCAUCUGCAGAAAACCUGGGCUUCUCCUAGGAUAGCUUUGGUAACA